UGAAAAGUAGUUAGGGUUGCCACCUUUCUUGGAAAAACAUACCGGCCUUACUAAUUUAUGUGUGGGUGACAUCACAUGAUGUAAAUCACAAGGAGUGACAUAAGAGAAAAUGCUGUAAAAUCACCAAAAAACUAUUUAGUUUAAAUCUGCUGUAAAGAUGGAUUCCUCCCAGUGCCCCCAUAUGUCGAUUACUCCAGGUCUCAGUGUUCCUAUGUAUCAGUGUCUCAGUGCCCCAUGUCUCCCAGUGUCCCUAAGUGUCGUGUCCCCAGGCCUCCCAGUGAUCCUAUGUAUCAGUGUCUCAAUGCCCUAUGUCUCCCUGUG